rnacentral:misc_RNA from 1 species
GAUGAAGAGCGUAGCGAAAUGCGAUAAGUAAUGUGAAUUGCAGAAUUCAGUGAAUCAUCGAAUCUUUGAACGCACAUUGCGCCCGCCAGCAUUCUGGCGGGCAUGCCUGUUCGAGCGUCAUUUCAACCCUCGAGCCCCCCCGGGGGCCUCGGUGUUGGGGGACGGCACACCAGCCGCCCCCGAAAUGCAGUGGCGACCUCGCCGCAGCCUCCCCUGCGUAGUAGCACACACCUCGCACCGGAGCGCGGAGACGGUCACGCCGUAAAACGCCCAACUUCUUAGAGUUGACCUCGGAUCAGGUAGGAAUACCCGCUGAACUUAAGCAUAUCAGUAAGCGGAGGA